AGUGAACGCUGGCGGUAGGCCUAACACAUGCAAGUCGAACGGCAGCACAGGAGAGCUUGCUCUCUGGGUGGCGAGUGGCGGACGGGUGAGGAAUACAUCGGAAUCUACUCUGUCGUGGGGGAUAACGUAGGGAAACUUACGCUAAUACCGCAUACGACCUACGGGUGAAAGCAGGGGACCUUCGGGCCUUGCGCGAUUGAAUGAGCCGACGUCGAUUAGCUAGUUGGCGGGGUAAAGGCCCACCAAGGCGACGAUCCGUAGCUGGUCUGAGAGGAUGAUCAGCCACACUGGAACUGAGACACGGUCCAGACUCCUACGGGAGGCAGCAGUGGGGAAUAUUGGACAAUGGGCGCAAGCCUGAUCCAGCCAUACCGCGUGGGUGAAGAGGGCCUUCGGGUUGUAAAGCCCUUUUGUUGGGAAAGAAAUCCAGCUGGCUAAUACCCGGUUGGGAUGACGGUACCCAAAGAAUAAGCACCGGCUAACUUCGUGCCAGCCGCCGCAGUAA
rnacentral:rRNA from 1 species